rnacentral:rRNA from 1 species
UACGGAGGAUGCAAGCGUUAUCCGGAAUGAUUGGGCGUAAAGCGUCCGCAGGUGGCUGUGUAAGUCUGCUGUUAAAGAGUGAGGCUCAACCUCAUAAAGGCAGUGGAAACUACAUGGCUAGAGUGCGUUCGGGGCAGAGGGAAUUCCUGGUGUAGCGGUGAAAUGCGUAGAGAUCAGGAAGAACACCGGUGGCGAAAGCGCUCUGCUAGGCCGCAACUGACACUGAGGGACGAAAGCUGGGGGAGCGAAUGGG